GACGAACCACACAAACGUUAUUCGGAAUUACUGGGCUUAAAGGGUGCGUAGGCGGCGCAGAAAGUAGGGUGUGAAAUCCCUCGGCUCAACCGAGGAACUGCGCCCUAAACUACUGUGCUCGAGGGAGGUAGAGGUGAGCGGAACUUAGGGUGGAGCGGUGAAAUGCGUUGAUAUCCUAAGGAACACCGGUGGCGAAGGCGGCAUCCUGGACCGGCAUUGACGCUGAGGAGCGAAAGCUAGGGGAGCAAACGGG
rnacentral:rRNA from 1 species